GUGGGGAAUAUUGGACAAUGGGCGAAAGCCUGAUCCAGCCAUGCCGCGUGUGUGAAGAAGGUCUUCGGAUUGUAAAGCACUUUAAGUUGGGAGGAAGGGCAGUAAGUUAAUACCUUGCUGUUUUGACGUUACCAACAGAAUAAGCACCGGCUAACUUCGUGCCAGCAGCCGCGGUAAUACGAAGGGUGCAAGCGUUAAUCGGAAUUACUGGGCGUAAAGCGCGCGUAGGUGGUUCAGCAAGUUGGAGGUGAAAUCCCCGGGCUCAACCUGGGAGCUGCCUCCAAAACUACUGAGCUAGAGUACGGUAGAGGGUAGUGGAAUUUCCUGUGUAGCGGUGAAAUGCGUAGAUAUAGGAAGGAACACCAGUGGCGAAGGCGACUACCUGGACUGAUACUGACACUGAGGUGCGAAAGCGUGGGGAGCAAACAGGAUUAGAAACCCUGGUAGUCC
rnacentral:rRNA from 1 species